rnacentral:ribozyme from 1 species
GCGUUGAUUGUUGGCCGAGCACGCGCGGUAGCGUAGUCUUGGUUUCUACAGAUCUGAAUAUCUAGCGGGUUGAAGUCGGCUUCAUCUUUCUCCUUCAAGAUGGCUGACGUGGAAGAACUCCGUGCUGC